GGCCAUGUUUCCUUUUUCAUUUAGUUACGAUGUGAAUUUGCAUGUAUCUCAUGCCUAAUUUGAAUGCCCUUGAAACAGGGGUUAAUUACUGGUGGUGGUGGUUUGGCCUUACAAAGGGGUAUGGCUUAUGAUGGGUUCCAUCAAGAGUGUAGAAAAGCUUUUCGAUGCCUCUCAACCCGAACGAAAACUCUUCAAUUUUCAUUUAUCUCGCUCUUCAUUUCAUGAUUUUACUCUUUAUUGUAUGUUAUCCUAGGCAAAGCAACAUUGAAUCAAUUAUAUGUGUGGGACUCUUGCA